rnacentral:rRNA from 1 species
CACGUAGGGCGCGAGCGUUGUCCGGAAUUAUUGGGCGUAAAGAGCUCGUAGGUGGUCCGCUACGUCUGCUGUGAAAUUCCAGGGCUUAACCCUGGACUUGCAGUGGAUACGGGCGGACUAGAGGUAGGUAGGGGAGAAUGGAAUUCCCGGUGUAGCGGUGAAAUGCGCAGAUAUCGGGAGGAACACCGGUGGCGAAGGCGGUUCUCUGGGCCUUACCUGACACUGAGGAGCGAAAGCGUGGGGAGCGAACAGG